CCGUCCACUGUUCUCCGGGCGGUGUGGCCUGCUCAUGGUGCGUUUCUAAGCCGAGCGGCUCUCCUGUCUGAGUUGUUGUCACAGCCUGCUGGGCACAGCCAGCAGGCAGCCGCCACAGAGACCUGUUCAAUCAUAUCUACCUGGCUGUCCACCAGCGCCCUCGGAACUGGCAGUUCCCAAGAGGACGGUCAGGGCCAGACCCAUCCCCCAGAUGAUCCCAGCUUCCUGCAGGCCCAACCCACUAUGUGGACAGCAAAGCAGCCCCCUGCAAAGCUCCUCAUGUGCAUGGACUCCGUAAAUCUUCAUGACUUCCAAGGGAGAGAUGGCAUUGUUCCCUCAUUUUUUGAUGAGGAAACCAAGACUUUAGGGAAAGCAGUUCAAAAACAUAUCACCAGACAAUUCACGGCAGAGGAAAUCAAAAUUGCCUAUCAAGCUUAGGCCAAGUUGCCCAACCUCACAAACUGUCAAGGAAACGCGACUUCAUUGGUCAUGAAAUACCAUUUUUCAUCCAUCAGAGGAGCAGAUGACAAAAAGGGCAAUGACUUCCAAUGCCAGCCUGAAUAUGGAAAACCUGGAGCUCACGUGCCUUGUGAAGGAGCAUGAAUUGCUGCAAAUUUUAUGGGCAUUAAACUUACAAUAGCUAUUAAAAUUUAAAAUGCAUGUCCCUGAGCAAGCAACCUCACCUUUGGGAAUGUAUCCGACACAAGGAAAAUCAACAAUGCGUGAAAGACAUCUAUAAGGAUGUUUAUGGCAGCCUUGCUCGAGGUAGGGAAGAUGAAUGACUCCUACAGUGUUGUCUGUAGUGGAGGAAAAAAUGGAAGCAACUCAAGGAUGUUAUAGGAUUGUUCCUACUGGGGCAAAAUGGACACAGACUAGGUUUUCAUCCAUAGGGAGGAGCUGACUGAAUUUUGUCUGUCUGUAUUACGGAAUACUAUGCAGCAGUUUAAAAGAAUGAAUUAAAGCUCUGCACGCUUGAUUGCUGAGUGGAAAAUACACCUAAGCCACUCCUUAAAACGUGUUAUAAUGAAGCAAUGCCAUUGCCUGGUUUUAGAUAAUAUUCACUAAGUGGGAAAGUAUCAUAACGCAUUCCCAGACAUCCAAAAACCCCAAGCAAGCCCCCUAAAUUGCUAAACCUCUCUGCAACACCCACAUAUCAAUCCACCAACUAUUUUUGCAAAACAGCCAUUUAAAACGUCAACAACCCAAUUAUUUAACACUGACCGCUCUCACUCGAGGGUGUGUGCGCGCGUGUACGCCCAGCAGGGAUGUCUUCCUUCUCUACUGCAGUUAACGUACCCGUGAUAUCAGCAAAUGGCAAGAUAAUAUGUUAAAGAUACACGGUGAAUGCAAAUAAGACUUAGCAAAAUAAAAUAAACAAGGGAGCAUUUUGCA
rnacentral:lncRNA from 1 species